GGGGCUAUAGCUCAGCUGGCAGAGCGUUGCAUUCGCAUUGCAGAGGUCGCCGGUUCGAUUCCGGCUAGCUCCACCA
rnacentral:tRNA from 1 species